CGAAAGAGCGAUGGAGACUGCGGCCCAAGUUAGGAUUAGGACAGCGGUAUUUCAGUCCGGAGAUUCCGGCCACAACUAUUUUUGUCUGUUUUUAUCGUAAGCCAGAGUCUUUGGGUGCAGCUCUGGGACACCUAAAGGGCCUGGAGAAAUUCAGGCGGGGCCAGUGCUGUGGGGGUAGAUGUUAGACGUGGAAGGGACCCUAGAGAGCCUUGACUGUGAGGACUGAGGGCCUCCUUUGUUGCCCAGGCCGGAGUGCAGUGGCUAUUCACAGGUCGAUAAUGCAAUCAUGGUGCACACUACAGCCCUGAACUUCUGGGCUCAUGUGAUCCUUCUGCCUCAGCCUCCCAAGGUACAGUUCAGUAGUGGUAAGUAUAUUGACAUUGUGAAACAGAUCUCCAGAACUUUUCAUCUUGCAAAACUGAAAACGCUAUACCCCUUAAACAACAACAACAACAACAACCCGUUUUCCCCUCCCUCCAGGCCCUGGUAACUAUCAUUCUACUUUCUAUUUCUAUAAAUUUGACUACUUUAGAUAUCUCCUAUAAGUGAAAUUAUACAGUGUUUGUCUUUUUGUGACUGGCUUAUUUCACUUAGCAUAAUGUCCUCAAGGCUCAUGUUGUAAUAUGCAACAGGGUUUCCUUUUCAAGUCUGAAUAAUAUUCCAUUGUAUGUGUAUACCACAUUUUGUUUAUCUAUUCACUCUUUGAUGGGCAUUUGUGUUGCUUCUAUGUCUUAGCUAUUGUGAAUAGUGCUGCAGUGAACAUGGGUAUGCAAAUAUCUGAGACCCUGCUUUCAAUUCUUUUGUUUAUAUACCCAGAAGUGAAAUUGCUGGAUCAUAUAGUAGUUCUAUUAGUAUUUUGAGGAAGCACCAUAGUUAACUUUGGUGACUUUAACUACCAUAUGUGCAGCUAACUUCCAAAUCUAUAUCCCUUGCCUUAAUCUCUGUCUCCUGAAAUAUACUGAUAUGAGGUCCAAAAGGAGGGAAAUAUGUUUUAUCUUUGUAUCUCUUGUUUUUGUAUCUACUUGUAUACUUGGUAUACAAGUAGACUCUAAAUAAAUUCUUGUUGAAGAAACUAUGCCUUUUUAAUUCUGAGUGUGAGGGAGCUAAAGUCCAAAUUUUUUUCCAUUGAUUAUUGUGUAAAUCACUGUUGUAAGCUUCUUAAUGAUGGUCACUGUGCAAUAUACUUACCUGUUUGGUUAUAAUGCCUACCAGUGCUUUACACAUACAAGGUAGCAAGUAUCUCACUCAUUAAAUCUGGUAAUAAUUGCAAAUAUUUAUCAAACUGAGUAGCAGUGGUUCAGUAUUGAAAUGCUUGCAAAAUUUCUCUUUCCUGUUUCUAAUUAAAACAUAAGGGGAAAAUAUGGGAAUUAAUAUGGUAUCAUGAGAACCCUAUACAUAUUUUAGGAUAAACACAAAUCUGUGGGCCAUAUAGUGAUGAACACUUUCUGGUCAUAAGACCUCAGUAAAAUAGAACAUGCUGAUAAAAUUUUCAGAAAAGUCUAGGAAAUAGCAAAUUUAUAUCACCACUGGGGGGAAAGGGAUUUUUUUUAAAAAACCUUGUUGAAGCAUAUGGGCACUCAAUAUUAUUUAUGAGAUGAUAGCAAGCGUACUGAGUAACAUUUUAAACAAUAUUCUGAAAACAUCUUGAAACGAAAAUUCAGCCCAGAUUUAUAAAGGAAAAAAAGCAAUCUAACACCAACGUGAUUGAGGACACAAAAUUUAAUCAUUGCUUAAAGAUUAUCAGAUAUUUCUCUUUCACUACUGAACGGAGAUUUAAUACUUGCAGUAACUUCUGCCAACUCAGAACCCUGAGAAAAUAAGUCACUUUCUUUACAGAAAUAAGAAGAAAAAAAGGAUAUUACCAACAAUGGAAGAGGAAUGCAGAGUGGCAACAAGUGGACCUGGCAGACUAUGAACACUAGAAUCACCAAGGAAACAUGGAGCUAUGAAAUGGCAAAAGGCUGUGUGAAAACCCUGAAGCUUUUUGGUUCAGCCUUUAAAAACCAAAUGAAAACUCAAGAGAUACAAGAAUGUGGUUAUUUUGAUGAACAACUCACAAACUAGUUGAAUUAAAAGAAACUGGUUCAAAUGAACACAAACCUAAACAUUUUUUCAGUUCGUCUAAUUAAAGUCUAACCAAUUCCUUCUAAUUUAAAAGAUCCAGUUUUGGAUAUAUCCAAGACUAAAACACAGUCUCAUCAAAGUCUAUUUAAUGUGGUGUAAAUCUCACGGGAAC